rnacentral:rRNA from 1 species
GAUGAACGCUAGCUACAGGCUUAACACAUGCAAGUCGAGGGGCAGCAUGGUCUUAGCUUGCUAAGGCCGAUGGCGACCGGCGCACGGGUGAGUAACACGUAUCCAACCUGCCGUCUACUCUUGGACAGCCUUCUGAAAGGAAGAUUAAUACAAGAUGGCAUCAUGAGUCCGCAUGUUCACAUGAUUAAAGGUAUUCCGGUAGACGAUGGGGAUGCGUUCCAUUAGAUAGUAGGCGGGGUAACGGCCCACCUAGUCUUCGAUGGAUAGGGGUUCUGAGAGGAAGGUCCCCCACAUUGGAACUGAGACACGGUCCAAACUCCUACGGGAGGCAGCAGUGAGGAAUAUUGGUCAAUGGACGAGAGUCUGAACCAGCCAAGUAGCGUGAAGGAUGACUGCCCUAUGGGUUGUAAACUUCUUUUAUACGGGAAUAAGUUAGCCACGUGUGGGAGCUUGUAUGUACCUUAUGAAUAAGCAUCGGCUAACUCCGUG